rnacentral:rRNA from 1 species
CGUUCUAAGUGCAGUGAAGUCAGACCGGAAGGACUGGUGGAGCGCUUAGAAGUGAGAAUGCCGGUAUGAGUAGCGAAAGACGGGUGAGAAUCCCGUCCACCGAAUGCCUAAGGUUUCCUGAGGAAGGCUCGUCCGCUCAGGGUUAGUCAGGACCUAAGCCGAGGCCGACAGGCGUAGGCGAUGGACAACAGGUUGAUAUUCCUGUACCACCUCUUUAUCGUUUGAGCAAUGGAGGGACGCAGAAGGAUAGAAGAAGCGUGCGAUUGGUUGUGCACGUCCAAGCAGUUAGGCUGAUAAGUAGGCAAAUCCGCUUAUCGUGAAGGCUGAGCUGUGAUGGGGAAGCUCCUUAUGGAGCGAAGUCUUUGAUUCCCCGCUGCCAAGAAAAGCUUCUAGCGAGAUAAAAGGUGCCUGUACCGCAAACCGACACAGGUAGGCGAGGAGAGAAUCCUAAGGUGUGCGAGAGAACUCUGGUUAAGGAACUCGGCAAAAUGACCCCGUAACUUCGGGAGAAGGGGUGCUUUCUUAACGGAAAGCCGCAGUGAAUAGGCCCAAGCGACUGUUUAGCAAAAACACAGGUCUCUGCGAAGCCGUAAGGCGAAGUAUAGGGGCUGACACCUGCCCGGUGCUGGAAGGUUAAGGAGAGGGGUUAGCGUAAGCGAAGCUCUGAACUGAAGCCCCAGUAAACGGCGGCCGUAACUAUAACGGUCCUAAGGUAGCGAAAUUCCUUGUCGGGUAAGUUCCGACCCGCACGAAAGGUGUAACGAUUUGGGCACUGUCUCAACCAGAGACUCGGUGAAAUUAUAGUACCUGUGAAGAUGCAGGUUACCCGCGACAGGACGGAAAGACCCCGUGGAGCUUUACUGUAGCCUGAUAUUGAAUUUUGGUACAGUUUGUACAGGAUAGGCGGGAGCCAUUGAAACCGGAGCGCUAGCUUCGGUGGAGGCGCUGGUGGGAUACCGCCCUGACUGUAUUGAAAUUCUAACCUACGGGUCUUAUCGACCCGGGAGACAGUGUCAGGUGGGCAGUUUGACUGGGGCGGUCGCCUCCUAAAGUGUAACGGAGGCGCCCAAAGGUUCCCUCAGAAUGGUUGGAAAUCAUUCGUAGAGUGCAAAGGCAUAAGGGAGCUUGACUGCGAGACCUACAAGUCGAGCAGGGACGAAAGUCGGGCUUAGUGAUCCGGUGGUUCCGCAUGGAAGGGCCAUCGCUCAACGGAUAAAAGCUACCCCGGGGAUAACAGGCUUAUCUCCCCCAAGAGUCCACAUCGACGGGGAGGUUUGGCACCUCGAUGUCGGCUCAUCGCAUCCUGGGGCUGUAGUCGGUCCCAAGGGUUGGGCUGUUCGCCCAUUAAAGCGGUACGCGAGCUGGGUUCAGAACGUCGUGAGACAGUUCGGUCCCUAUCCGUCGUGGGCGUAGGAAAUUUGAGAGGAGCUGUCCUUAGUACGAGAGGACCGGGAUGGACGCACCGCUGGUGUACCAGUUGUUCUGCCAAGGGCAUAGCUGGGUAGCUAUGUGCGGAAGGGAUAAGUGCUGAAAGCAUCUAAGCAUGAAGCCCCCCUCAAGAUGAGAUUUCCCAUAGCGUAAGCUAGUAAGAUCCCUGAAAGAUGAUCAGGUUGAUAGGUUCGAGGUGGAAGCAUGGUGACAUGUGGAGCUGACGAAUACUAAUAGAUCG